rnacentral:misc_RNA from 1 species
AUGGUCAAAUCGACGGCAUUUUGGUUAGAUCGACGCGUUGGCGUGUGAGUGGCAAAUUGAAUGUUUGUGUUGGCUGGCUCCCUGCUUGCGCAGCGAACGGUUGCCGCAUUCAUAAUUCAGUCGGAUCGGUGAUGUGUUUGUCGGAUUUUUGUGUUGCCAACC